GGGGGCGACACGGUUUCGACGGAAGCUGUCGCGGCCCGAAGGCAUGCCGGGACCCACCUGCCCGUAACUUGGUGGAAACUAGAACUGCCAACAACAACUUGGCACUUGCUGCUUAAUUAAUUAAGCGCACGCUUCCCCGGGCUUUGCUCACGGGCCCGGCAAGAGGCGUCACACAGUGAGCUGGCCCGAGCCUUUCGGUCCGUAAGGUUCGGGCGAGAUUCAUCGGACUAGCCGGCUACGUUUCUUGCUCAUUCUGACCGCGGCUGGCGAACGCGCGGAAGGCCCUCGCGGGCCAGGCCGCACACCGAAUCGAGAUAAGCAUGUAGGCUUCGUGUCGCAGCGCUUUUCGGACGGGGGUUCGACUCCCCCCGCCUCCACCA
rfam:Acidobacteria bacterium 13_1_40CM_4_58_4 13_1_40cm_4_scaffold_6750, whole genome shotgun sequence.